ACUAAAAUCAUUGUCAACAUUAUGCAUAAUGAAGUAACAGCAAUAACAAUUCUUUCAAGAGCUAUAGGAUCAUUUCCAACCACAUUUACUUGUCCCCAAUGUUUAGGAGAUUGGUAAGCUAAUUCAUCCACUCCCUCAAUUCUCUAUGUUUAUCUCUAUCUGGAGCAAUGUGAGACUAUGUCAACAUAUCUUAGAGCCUCCGAGUUCUGCCACCACGAGGCAUGACUCACUUACAGUUAUACAUGAUAUGCUAAACAUUAGAAUGUACGUACAGUGAAGCCUACUGACUUUAAUGCAUGCUCUGAUACCAAAUUGACAUGCCUCGCUCCGUGUAAUGUUAUUGGACCCGAAAAGUAACAUACGCCGAUAAUAGGUACCAGCUAAAGGUCGAACCUACCGUCAAGGGUACUACGAUAUGCAACUUUUUAUAAAUUAAUUCUAACAAAAUUUCAACAUUAUCUUUGUUGUAAAUAGAACUAAUCGACUUAUAAUUCACUGUGAUUAAAUCCCAAAAAUAACACAUACAAUAGAGAUAAACCGAAAAUUCAUCUUUUACUAUGAAAAUAACUUAAAACGUACAUAUGGAUAUAAAAUACAUAGUGAGUCUCAUAGCUAUCUACAAGUUAUGCAAAAUCAUAUCUAAGAGUGAACAAGUGUCCCAAAACACUAACUACACGCUUUAUGAAAUGAGUCAUACGAGCAAACUCUGUCGUAUGACAGUUUCAAAAAUCAAGGCUUAGCUACAAAGAUGCCCAGAACUCAAUUGCUACCUAAUAAAAAAAUCGUAGAAAAAUAUAUGAGUUGAUAGCUCAGUGUGUGAAAAAGUUCAAACAUAAUUAUACUUUCUCAUUUGCACAUUUUAUCAAAAAUAGAGUUUAGAUCCUUUAGCAGCUCAUAGUAUAACAGCAUAUAAUAAUAAUAAAGAUGUGAGACAUCCUUAUAAUAUUGAAAAAUAACAUCUCAUCAUCAUGAUAUAAUCAUCAACUAAAAUCUAUUCAUUCAUCUCAUCACUUCAAAUGUACUCAAAAGUCGACCAAAAAUAUACCCUCUGAUUGAAAUUUGUAAUCUAGUCAUACGUGAUAGGUUACCCUUCAAGCUAAUCACUUCUGACACGUACUUCAAGCCCCCUCGAUGAAUGGAAGCGGGUCUCAAAGACCUCUCAUAAUCAAUUCUAGAAUACGAUCAAGGCCCCUCAAUUAACUACUAUACACGGUCAAGACCCUUUUAUCUCCAAUCAAUACCCCUCAAUGUAGUAUAGAACGCGACCAAAGCCCCUCAGUGAACUAGAAGAAGUACAUAAUUGUGAGUACUUUUCUAGUCGGUCUCAAUACCACAUACGUCUCACAUUCCAAAUCACAAAUGUAUCAUAUACAAUCUUUGAAAUUUCACAAGUAUCAUAGUAAAAAAAAAAAUCCAUAAUAAUCACAUAAUUGCACAUAACGUAAUAGUAUAAUUAAUUUAUCAAUAUUUUAAAAUAUUUUAAAUUUUUCCACUCACUUAAUUAUGUACGCAAAAUCCGUUUGGUUGGUCGGCUAUCCCGAUAUUCAUAUUGCCGCCUGAAAUAUGAUAUAAUAUUUAGAGUAACAAUUAACUAUUUUAAGAAAUUAUGAUAAUUAGAUAGGCGAUAUCGAAACUUAAUCUUUUCAUAGUUCAGCAAUUUCUAAAGUUCCUUUAAUCACUUAAUUUAAUUUUUCUUUCAUCUAACUUAAUUACAUCGUGCUUAAUACUUAAUUCAAUAAUUUUCUUUCAAUAAAAUUGAAUUUAAACAAAUAAUUCGACAACCCUAAAAUUUAACAUAACAUUUCAGUACGUAACUUUUCACUUCCUUUGAAAUUGAAGAAUUCAAACUUAAUAGUAAAAAGCAUUUAUUUUCUAACAACGUUGGCAAAUUUUCCUAUUUUUUUCUUCUUCCUCUUUUAUUUUUCUCUUUCUUUCCUCUCUAUAUCUCGACUUGUUUUUGUAUGUUUGCGUGUUUUUUGCAUGUAAAUGAAUUGAUUUGGAAUGAGUUAAUAUAUAUCUAAUGCACCGCCUGCCCUUUCUUUGCUAUAAUAUUUUUUUUUUCUUGUAUCUAGAUUGACCUUUUUUACUUUAGUUUUAUGUUUUGACCUUUUUUUAAUUAAUUAAUGUAUUACAUAUACUGGUUAAUCUCCAAUUCAACACCUCAUUCACUUUCAUGUUUAUCAUCAGGCUUGCAUGGGGCUCAUAAUGUGCACGAAGAACACUAUGUCUCAUAAUAUAAACAAGCAACAUACUCUAUCAUGUCCACUUGAUUCUAUAAAACCAGCUCUCUAACAUCCAUUAUGUCUAUUGUAUAUAGAUUGAUGCAGAAAAUAAAUCAACUAAAUAAGUCUACGUUUGCCCACCCCAAGUAUACCUAUUAAGUACAAUGAUCAUAUUGUUAACUCAUUAUCCAUAUAACUCACCAAACAAAAUGAUGUUUUAGAAAGUAAGAAUCGACACCUUGCAAAAAACAUGUCGAAGUAUGCCAUAUGUAAAGAAUGUGCCAGGAAGGUUUUGGGCUGAGUGUAUGAGGACAGCAGCACAUGUGACCAACAAGCUACCACAAUUAAAGUUGGGGUUCGUUUCAGCAUUUGUAAAACUGUGGAAAUGAAGCCAAUGGUAAGUCACGUUCGUGUUUUUGGAUGUGUCUGUUAUGUUCCUAUGCCUGAUUACUUAAAGAGUAUAUUUGAUAAGAUGACAAUCAUGUGUAUAUUUAUGGGAUAUAACAAUUAAAUUAAAUGGUGGAGAUGUUGCGACCAUACAACUAAUAAUUGUUACACGCCAAGGAAUGUGGUGUUUAACGAUACAUCUUCAUGGUGGACACCGUGGAGAGUGGAGUUACUAGAUUCAAAGGAAAUAGACGACAAAUUGCAAGAGGAAAUCACAGAAGCACUACAAAGUCCUGAAGAAACAAAAGGAUGCACAAGAAUUAAGUGAUGAUAAAUAGUAUACUAGCACAAUACAAAGUCUUUGGCAGAUGGGUGUACAUCAGACAAUACUAGAGGAUAUACAACCAAGUUGAUAAGAAGAGGUUGAGGUACGGACAAACCCAAAACCAUAGUUGAGAAAAUCAACUAGACAAAGAAAACCAAAUCCCAAGUAUGCUAACACGACAGUAGAAGAAGAUAAUAGUGCCAAAGACCCAGAGACCUUUGAAGAAACUAUCCAACACAUAGAGUAAAGAAAAGCAACGGAAGAAGAGUUUGUGGCUCUAAAGCAAAAUGGGACUUGGAAUUUGAUGCCAAGGCCUAAUGGAGUAAAGCCUAUAUCCUACAAGUGGGUAUUCAAAGUAAAUAAAUGCCUAGAUGGAUCGAUUGAAAGAUAAAAAAACUCGACUAGUAGCUCGUGAAUUUUUUCAACAAUAUGGUCUAGACUGUGACAAGACGUUUAGUCUAGUGGCAAAGAUCACAACAGUAAGAGUACUUAUAGCUUUAGCAACAAGCAAAUCUUGGAAGUUAUGAUAGAUGUGAAAAAUGCAUUUCUUCAUGGAUAAUUUGAUCGAGACAUAUACAUGGAGAAACCAAAGGUAUUCAAGAAUAAUGCUACCAAGCUAAAGAAAACUCUUUGUGGGUUAAAGCACGUGCCAAGAGCCUGGUACAGAAAGACAGCAAAAUUUUUAGUUCAAAGUGGAUACUCGGUAGCAACAACAGCCUCGAGCUUAUUCAUCAAAGUACAAAAUAGAAAACUAACAAUAGUGCUAGUGUACGUGGAUGAUCUUAUCAUCAUUGGAGAUAAUAAAAAUCAAAUGAAAGAGUUGGGAAAAUUAAAUUAUUUUUUGGGACUCGAGAUGGAAAGGACAAAAGAAGGGUUAUUCUUGUUCCAACAUCAAAAUGCUAGAGAUCUCUUACUGAAGUUUGGUAUGAUCGAUAGCAAACCAAUAUCAACACCAAUCGAGAUUAACUCCAGGCUAUGUGCAGAUGAAGGCAAGGAUCUGAAGAAUGCAACCAUGUAUCGACAGCUGGUAAGGAGCCUAAUCUACUUGAUACUAACACAACCUAAUAUCAUAUACAUAAUAGGGAUAGCAAGCCGCUUUAUGGAAAAGCUAAUGAAGUUGCACCCUGAAGUAGUGCGAUGAAUUUUAAGGUACGUAAAAAGAACAAUUAAUUAUGGACUAUUUUAUAAGAAAAAUAAAGAUUGCAAGGUUGUUGGCUGUUGUGAUGUGGACUAUGCUGGAUGUCACGAUACACGAAGAUCGACAAUUGGGUGUGUGUUUAGUCUUGGAUUUGUUGUAGUGUCAUGGUGCAAUAAGAGACAACCAGCCGUGUCUUUGUCAACUUCAGAGGCUAAGUAUAGAGUAACAGCAAUGGCAACUCAAGAAAGUACAUGGCUAAUACAAUUGAUGAAGAAUCUACAUCAACCAAUAAGCUAUGCAAUGGAAUUCUAUUGCGAUAAUCAAUCAGCUAUUCAUAUAGCAAAAAAUCUAGUGUGCUAUAAAAGAACUAAGCACGUCGAAGUGCACUAUCAUUUCGUUAGAGAAAAUGUGCUUAAAGGAGAUAUAGACUUGAAACAUGUUAACACUGAAGAAAAAGUUGUAGACGUGUUAACGAAAGGAUUUAGUACUUCAAAAAUUUGUAGAAUUUUUUAACACAAUAGGGUAUUAUAAAAAGAAAAUACUUAAAAUGAAAAGUUAUGUUGAAAGGGAUAAUUGAAUAUCACCACCAACAUAGAAAAAUUUUCAGAAUUUUGUGGACUUAUCCAUCUCAUAUUUUACAGACCAUUCUUGAUGCUUCUUCUGGAAGAAGGUCAGGAAUUUUCUAGAACAUGCUAAAUGAUGAUGUUGCGGAAGCUCUCUCAAAAGGAUCUUCAAACGGUGAUUUUCCAAGCUCAGUCCAAUGUACCUUUUUCAACCAACAACCAGUCUAAUAGGCACCAAACCACAACCAAUUGAUUCAUCUUGGUUGCUAUGCAAUCUUACCCACGUAGGACAAAAAAGAAUGAUGAUUUAUGGCCACAAAGACUAAGAGAAGAUACCACAAAGGUAUAUUAUGAAUGAACCACCAAUUGCACACAUUAUACAAGCGUUCUGGACAUUUAUGGACACCUUUUUCUCACACAAAGGGGGGCAGCCGGUAUUCACUAUUUCUUCUCUUAAAAUCACACAAAACAUCAUAUGAAAGUGGCUAGGGUUAUAGCCAAAUAUAUACUGUAGGAUUAGGCUUUAAGUUAGGCCAUUAAAGGGGUAAAUGGACCAAGAUUCAAGUCAUCCAUAAGAAAUACAAUUGGGCAGGGUGUAGCUCAUGGACUUGGUUGUUGGACUUAUUUCAUUCAUCGGCCUAUGCCUAUGAAAUAAUAUUAACCCACGUUAACAUCAUAGCCCGAGAUUUAUUGGGUAUCAAAAAUCCAACAGAUGAUCUCCAUUAUCAUGAAUGGAAUUAUCUAGAAUCACUGCACUAACAUAGUAAAAAUUGUAGGAGCCGCGACAUUGUCAUCUAUAUAUGUACAUCUUGUUGUAUUGUAUUGUGUGAAAGUAAGUGUAUGAAAAGUGAAGAGAGUGGUGAGCAAAGAGAGAAAUAGGUAGAUAUAGAUACAACAGUGUGUGUGUGUUUUGUUGGAGAGAGAAAGUGAUUAGUUGUGGUGAGCAAACGAGUGAGUAAGGAAAGUUAAUGGGAUGAUAUAAUUAAAUAGUGAAGUGCUUGCUUGAGUAGAAUUUAGUAUGGUGUGGUAAAAUGUGUUUGUCACAAAAUUAAUUGUAUAAGUUUCUUUAAACUCAGCAAGGAAAACUAAGAAAAAGAAGAUUCACCAAUUUACCUUGUUUUUUGAAGGCACCCCAUUCCUAGGAAAUAUCACGUCACUCCCUUUAGAAAUGAAAAGAAAUAAUACAAGAAGCGGGGGAUUUAAAGAGAAAACAUCAUAUUUUAUUUUAAAUGUAUUUUCAAAAAUGUGCAUGCAUUGUUACUAACAUGCUUAAAGACUAUACCUAAAAACCAAUGCUCUUAUAGGAUGGUCAGUGUGACGGUUGGAGCUCCACCUGUAACUUCUCUCAACUGUAGCUCAGGAAUGAAGUGAAAUCAGCUGGGUUAGCUGCUAUUUCCACAAAGUAAAGACAAAUUAGAAUGGGGAAGGGAAUAAAUGAAAAAAAUAAGAAUAAAGGGGAGAGAAAUUAUGUUGAAAGUUUCAACAAAUUUUAUUGAAAGGUCUAUAAUUUGGAAACUGAAAAAACAAAGCCAUACAUAUCAGCCUAUAUCUAAAUCUUCCAAUUGUUGAGAAAAAAAUGUUUACCAUUACAAAAGCAAUACGUUUCUUUAACUAAAUUUAAAAUUUAUCCCAAUCCCGAAACGGCGUUGCCCACUUAAAAUUCUGGUAAUUCAGUUGAUCGACCUCUUCCUUCUUCCUCUGGCUUUUUGAUCUGAUUCUCUUUCUCCCCUAUUGAUUCUCCAUGUGACAGUCAGUGACCAACACAUGAUCAUUGGUAACCACUUCAGCACCUUAUGCAAUUACCGAUCUUCCGAAAGAAACUCCAUGAAUUGAACCUCGUUGCUUGUAUAUAAGUAACUACGUGUCAUUUCUUUCCUUUAUCAACAUAAAUUUUAAAUAUAACAUUUGAAGUCAAGGCAUGAAGCUAUUAGCCCAACUCCGAGAUUGAACAAAGAACUUACCAUCAACACAAACCAUUUAACUUAUUCAUUCAACUAACACAUUCCUAGUUACUAUGCAAGUAGAUUAUCCUACAGUUAUUGGUGUCCUAUUGGAAAAUUAAAUCAGCAAUAUUUUAGAUAUGCAUCCAUUUUUAUCCCACCAAAAUAAAAAUUAUUAUUGAACUUAUCAAUGGAAGAAAACGAUGGAGGUAAAUAGAAGAUAAACAUUCUAAUUUAUUAAUAAUUACAUAUUGCAAAAUAGAAGACAAAUAUCUAUGAAUAUCACAAUAUAUAGAGCUAUCGCAAAAUCGAAGAUAUAUUACAAACUUGGAUUGUGACUGCCCACCGCAACCAGCAUCACUAUCGCCACAGAAAAGCUUCCCCUACCCCUACUGUAGCCAAGUCCACAAAAUCACCAUCUGUUAACCUACCAAGAUGAUGACUGAGAUAAAAGUUGGCUCAAAGAUAGAGAAGGGAAAGGAGGGCGAAAAUGGAGUUAGAGAUUUGGAUAUAAUGCAACAUUGGAAUGAGUAUAUAGGAGAAAAAAAAAUAUGUUAAAAAUAAUAGAAAGGAGAAAGAAUAAUUUUAGUGGGAGGGAAAUUAGAUAGAAUGUAAAUCUUCCUAUCCGUUUUCAUAGAUAUUUAAAUAUUUUCACCAAGUUUACAACAAAAUUUUCAAUUAGUAACUAUUUUCUUAAAUUUACAUAAAAAGUUUUACCAAAAAGUUUUUCAUUGGUAAUUAUUUUAUCAUCUAUUGAAAAAAUUUAAUUCAUUUUUUGUUUAUAUUUAUUAUUUAUCGACGGAUUAGCAACGGAAUUAUACCAAUGGAAAACUUCCGUUAGUAACUCUGUCUGUAAUUUAAUAUAUAAUUUUCAUUGAUAAUUAUUUUAUUCUUUUUAUCAUCCAAAUUUGUUGGUAAAUUAUUUAAUUUAUUUUUCAUUUGUUUUUAAUUAUUUACCAACAGAUUAACAUCGAAAUUGUAACAAUGGAAGACUUCCGUUGGGAACCCCAUCGAUAAUUUAAUAUUUACUUUUUAAAAAUAAUAAAAUAAUAAUUCGUUGCUAAUUUGUUAUUAAUUCAUUGGUAUUAGCAACAAAAGACUUCCAUCGCCAAAUUUCCAUCUCUGUUGCCUCCCUUUCUAGUAGUACUCAAAAUUCAGGCACGAUUUCAUCACCAGGUCUGAGAAUUGAUAUUGUUCAAGUUUUGUUGCAUAUAGCCUUACAAAAUUAGUUAAGUAUGUAAUGUAUUAUUGCAAUAAGACUACUUGUACACCCAAAUGUGUACAAUUUGGUUGACACUUUCUAUGUGUUAAAAAUCUAACCAUUGAUUGAAUAAAGUAUUUUUAAAAUCAAUAUAUUCAAAUUUGCCAACACACAGGAGUGUAAGCCAAAGUGUAAAUCAAGGUGUACAAAUAGCAUGGCUCAUCCUAACUUUUUACCAUCAGUACAUAAGUUUAUUGGUUCUUAUGAAGUGGGAUUGUUAAGCAGAGCAAUAUCAAAAGGCAAAUAAUAUUUUACAGCUCAAGCAUACCAAUCACUGUAACAACGUUUAUGCUACAAGUACGAGCUUUUUGCUCCCAGAUGAAGCACAUCUCAAUUGACUGCUGCUUUAUUUGAUGGAUAAAAAUUAUUGUACAUAAUUUUAUAUACAUGAGGGUAUUCACCCUCUCACAUGA
rnacentral:sRNA from 1 species